CCUACGGGUGGCAGCAGUGAGGAAUAUUGGUCAAUGGGCUUACGCCUGAACCAGCCAAGUCGCGUGAGGGAAGACUGCCCUAUGGGUUGUAAACCUCUUUUGUCAGGGAGCAACGCCGGCUACGUUUAGCCGGUCUGAUAGUACCUGCAGACAAAGCCUCGGCUAACUCCGUGCCAGCAGCCGCGGUAAUACGGAGGAUGCGAGCGUUAUCCGGCUUUAUUGGGUUUAACGGGUGCGUAGGCGGAAUGCCAAGUCAGCGGUAAAGUCGAGGGGCUAAACCUCGCUCUGCCGUUGAAACUGGCGGUCUUGAGUGUGCGAGAAGUAGGCGGAAUGCGUGGUGUAGCGGUGAAAUGCAUAGAUAUCACGCAGAACUCCGAUUGCGAAGGCAGCAUACCGGCGCACAACUGACGCUGAAGCACGAAAGCGUGGGUAUCGAACAGGAUUAGAUACCCGAGUAGUC
rnacentral:rRNA from 1 species